rnacentral:rRNA from 1 species
GCCUACGGGGCGCAGCAGUGGGGAAUAUUGCACAAUGGGGGAAACCCUGAUGCAGCGACGCCGCGUGAGUGAAGAAGUAUUUCGGUAUGUAAAGCUCUAUCAGCAGGGAAGAAAUAGCGACCUUUGGGUCGCGAGACGGUACCUGACUAAGAAGCCCCGGCUAACUACGUGCCAGCAGCCGCGGUAAUACGUAGGGGGCAAGCGUUAUCCGGAUUUACUGGGUGUAAAGGG